rnacentral:rRNA from 1 species
CUCGACUGCAUGAAGCUGGAAUCGCCAGUAAUCGCGAAUCAGCAUGUCGCGGUGAAUACGUUCCCGGGUCUUGUACACACCGCCCGUCACACCAUGGGAGUCGGAAAUGCCCGAAGCCAGUGACCUAACCGGAAGGAGGGAGCUGCCGAAGGCAGGUUCGAUGACUGGGGUGAAGUCGUAACAAGGUACC